UACAGAGACCUCAAGCGUUAUCCGGAAUCAUUGGGCGUAAAGCGUACCGAUAGGUGGUUUUACAAGUCAGAAGUGAAAUUCCAAAGCUCAACUUUGGGACUGUCUUUUGAAACUGUAAAACUAGAGGGGCAAAGAGGAAGCUGGAACGAACGGUGUAGUAGUGAAAUGCGUUGAUAUCGUUCGGAACACCAAUAGCGUAGGCAGGCUUCUGGGUGCCACCUGACACUGCUAGGACGAAAGCGUGGGGAGCGAAUGGG
rnacentral:rRNA from 1 species